UACGUAGGGUCCAAGCGUUUGUCCGGAUUUAUUGGGCGUAAAGAGCUCGUAGGCGGCUUAGUAAGUCGGAUGUGAAAACUCGGGGCUCAACCCCGAGACGCCAUCCGAUACUGCUGUGGCUUGAGUCUGGUAGGGGAACACGGAAUUCCUGGUGUAGCGGUGAAAUGCGCAGAUAUCAGGAGGAACACCGAUGGCGAAGGCAGUGUUCUGGGCCAGUACUGACGCUGAGGAGCGAAAGCGUGGGGAGCAAACAGG
rnacentral:rRNA from 1 species